UGACUGAGCCACCCAGGAGCCUCAAGAAAUUUUAUUUUUAAUAUAGAUAUAAAAGUUCUUUCUCUUUGGGUCUAUUCUACAUUCUACAGUUGAAUUGUUUUUUAAAUAACAACUUUAUUGUAGCAGGUAUUGUAUCUUUUUUUUUAUUGCCAAAUGAUUCCUUUAUUGACAAAUAAUAUUCCAUACAUGGAUACUUUGUUUAUCAUUCUUCAGCUGAUGGACAUUGAGAUUGUUUCCACCAUUUGGUCAUUAUGAAUAAUGCUACCAUGAACAUUGUUUAUAAAUUUUUGUGUGGCCAUAUGUUUCCAUUCUUUUGGCAUAUACGUAGAAGUGGAUCUUGCUGGAUCUUAUGGUAACUAUGUUUAACAUUUUGAGGAACCUUUAGUUUUCAAAGUGGCCACACUCUUCGUAUUUCAGCCAGCAAUAUAUGAGAGUUUCAUUUUUCCACAUCCUUGCCAACACUUGUUAUUGUUUAUCUUUUUUAUUUUAGCCAUCCUAAGAAUGUGGAAUGGUGUCUCACUGUGGUUUUGCUUUGCAUUUCCCUAAUGAUUAAUGAUGUAUAACUGUUACCAAACAGUGAUCCUGGUCUGGAUCACCUGGUGGAAGAACCAAGCGGCACUUGGAGAUCAUGGAAGGCAGAAGGUUUAUUUCACACAGCCGGACUCAGAGGAGAUCACUCUCCAGAGGUCUGAGUCCUGAGCGCAAGCAUGGAGGAUAAUUUAUGGUCUGUUACUUCUGCAUUCCACAUUAGUAGUGGUUUGGCACACAGAGAAAGCAGGGUAGGAAGAAGAACUCAGAAGGGGAGUCUUUAGGCGGGGAAGGACUAUUAUAAAUCAGCCUGAAAUUUCUUUGCACGAAAAUGUUGGGAAUCUUUGUUUUUUCCAAUUGUUUUUUUAGAGCACAGUGUUUCAAAACAAGUAGAAAGAUUUGCAAGAGUAUUUUGCCUGGCAACAUUUCUAUUUCUCUACUUCUACAAACUAAUUUGGUUAGUUGCGUGAACUAUUAACAUGAAUUUUUUUAAAAAUAAAUUAAUUGAGGGCUUGGGGAGUUUGUUUUAUGUACCACAACCUUAAAAUAGAAAAAAAAAGAAAGCCCAGUGGUCAAUUUGACGUGUUAAUUGCUUAGAGGAAAAGAGAAAUUGUUUUACUUGUAUAAAGAGUCUAAUUCUAGAAUUUUGUGAAUUUAUGCAAGGUAAGGGGAAAAAAUAUUUCCUUUCUAGAUUCCUUUAAGCGUAAAGUAGAUCAUAAUUACACAGUCCACUUACUUAUAUCUUUAUAGUUUGCAUGUAUUUUGAAGUUUAACAAGUGUUUUUAUAAGUAUUAUCUUACUUGAUCCUCAGAAGAACCCAACAAUGCAUUAUAUAAUAAGGCAUAAUGGCUAUUUUACUGAUAUGGUAACCAAGAAAUAGAUGUGAAGGCCACAUAAUGAAUACUAGGUGUAACAUACAUCUGAACUUAAGUCUUCUGACUCCAAGACCAGAGUUAUUUAUUUCAUUCUACUGUGAUUUCCAUUAUGUAUGUUUUCUUCAUUUGAUUCCAGAAACUUGAGUCAUCUAAAAGAAGCCCAAGGACCUGAUGAGAUCACCAACAACAGCUGUUCUUAUAUUUUUAGAAGUAUCUCAGAACUAAACGUAGAGGUCCAGGGCCAGUUCAAGUCCACGUCUUCAUUCUAUUUUCUGAUAAUCUUUGUUUUCAAAGUAGCAAAGGUUUUAUUUACAUUUUAAUUCAUCUUCCAGAUAAAGGAACUUACACUGUACAUGGAUACAUUUAGCCUGUCAUACAGUUCAUGGUAGGAAAAAUUGCUUUACUAACUACAUGAGUUGAAACACCUAUGCCUCAGGUGUAGACAGGUUACAGACCUGUCACUUGCAGCCCAAAGUCCUGAGGGUAAGAUAGUAAUUAUGCAGGACUGAAGUCAUUCUUAUAUUCAGAGUCAUUUGAAAACCUGUCUAUUGAGGGCAGGGGCCAUACUCAAUACUGCAUACCCAACUGAGUGCAGUGUCUGUCUGGGACAUAAUAUGUACUUAGUAAAUAUUUGUUGAACAAAUGAAUAAAUGGCUUUAAUCAUUCUCAGCCAGCCUCCAACAUGACUAUACGCCCUUUAAUUUCCAGUUCUGCAUUAUCUAUUCAGUCAGUCAAAAGGUAUUGAGUACUUUUAACAUACCAGACUGUUUUAGGUGCUGCAGACACAUAAGGGAAAAAAUUCAUUGAAUUCAUAUUCUAGUGGCAAGAGACAGAAAUAAACAAGACAAAAAGUUAAAAUGGAAGAUGGUGAUAAGAGCCAGGGAAAAAAUAAGUCAAGAGCUGGAGAUAGGGAGUAUUGGAUUGAUUUACAUAUUAUGGGCAAAGUAACCAAGAACCACUUUAAUUGAUGAAACUAUUGUUAUCUCCAUUUCAUGUUUUCAGCCACUAAACUGGGAUCUUGAAUUUAAUAUUCUUUUUUAUUUUGCAGGCUUAUAAUCAAGUGUUUUUUACUAGAUACUGAGUACAUGUAUAAAUGCUGUAGAAUUUGUCAUCUAAGAACUUUAAUAGUUUUUUUUUUUUUGUUAUUAUUAUUUGAGAGAGAGUGUGUGUGUGCAAGUGGAAGACAUGGGCAGAGGGAGGGAGAAAAUCUUAAUGCUCAGCAUGGGGCCAGACAAAGGGCUCAAUCCUACGACCCUGGGGUCAUAACCUGAGCUGAAAUCAAGAGUUAGACGCUCAACCCACUGAGCCACCCAGCCACCCUUAAGAACUUUAAUUUUAAAUGCUGCCCCCUAAUAAUGGUGAAGGUUUUGUAGGGCACACCCGGUACACAUUAGAUGGAUUCCUGAUAUUGGGAUGGUGUUCAGAUUCAAGCUUUUGAAGCUCACAGUCCCAAACAGAUAAACAAGAUUCCCUUUCCUUCCUUCCUUCCUUCCUUCCUUCCUUCCUUCCUUCCUUCCUUCCUUCCUCUUGCUUUUCCAGUGGGUUUUACCAAGGAGAGAAGUUAAGUCUCCAGACCCACAGGGACAGAUCUUGUGCCUAAGAAGGAGCUCUUCCAGUAAAAAGAUAUGACAGGCUGUCAAUUCAACUCUCCGGAUUUCAAUGACGUUACUUACCUAAGAACACAUUUGACAGUUCAUUUUCCUCUUGUUUAACCAAUGCGUCUAGAAACGGAUUUGGUACAAUGUUAUGACAUUUAAAUGUAUGUUGUCAAUUAUUGUUUGUUAAGUGCUAUGUAAUUAGUAGUGAUGUAGUUUGAUUUUAAAGAAAAUCUUCUCUUAUAAAUUUAUUAUUUCUAAGAAAAAAAUUCUUCUUUCUGAUUUUACUUCCCUCAGAUUAAAUGCCUUUUAGAGUAUUUAUGACAUAAUAAAAUGAGCAUUUUGAAUGUUUUAAAUCUCUAAUAAGUAAUACUUUAGAGGUCCCUUGCUAUUUCACUGUUAUUCUUGGGCUGAUCCACUGAUUUGCAAAUGUAACAUAUCAUUAUUAUUCAUUUUUCAUUCCUUCUGAGACUUUCUAAUACUAUUUGUGCCUCCUCUAAAAUAAAAACUCUAAAAUAC